UCCCUGCCUGCCACCAACAGCGCUGGGCUGGCCUGGGGCUGCGGACAUGGGGGCUGCUUAGGAGCAACCCCCCAGGACCUCCCAGGCCAGCUGGGCGCUCAGGGUGCAGACCUCGGCGGCCACCAUCGGGGGCGGGGCUUAGUGCCCCUCCUGUCCUCCAGACCCUGGGCUCACUGAGGAGCGUCCAGCCAGCGGUCACCAGCACAUCUGCCUGGGGCCUGGCCUGGGGUCCUGAACCUGAGACCCCGGGUGCCAAAGACAACAGGGAGGGCAGCACACAGGGAGAGACCCCGAGAUGUGCCCUGGGCUGGGGGACGGUGAUGGGGAAGCCACCUCUCCCCGACUGUCACUCUAGUCUGACUUUGGGCCCUGCGACUCCCCCCACCCAAGGGCUCUGUCCCGAUCCGUCUCAGGCAGACCUCGUGGGACAUGGGUGGGGGGCCUCGCAUCCGGGUCUCCGCUCGAGGUCCAUGUUAAUUUUUUAUUUAUCUGAAAGUGGGACUGGAAGCGGCUUCGAGUGAGUCUGAAGUAAUUAGGAGUUCCUGCUGAUGGAUCGCACUGGAGGGACGCGGGGAUUAUUUAUUACCGAGUCACUUGCCGGAAAGGAGGGAAGGCAGCACCUCGAUGCGUGACCAGCCUCACCAGAUGCCCAAGGGAGGAACAACCAGGAGGCCGGGAGCUGCCCAGUACAGCCAUGGUCCAGUCGAAAGCUGCUAGCCCCAAGGGACAGAAAGGCCAGCCUGACAGGCUUCAAUAGAAGAUGGACUGAAUUGCCUCCUAUAGCUGAACUGUCUGGGGUAGGUCUCUGGCUUCAGGUAUGGCUUGAUCCAGGCCUCAACUGUUAUCACAGGAUCCAUGUCUGGGAUCUGGUUUUUCUAAGAUGGUAGUUCCAGCCUCAGAACCAAAGCCACACGAGGAUUUCCACUUCCACCUGGGGUGAAAUAACAGGGACCACAUUUAUGCUCCCAUCUGAAACAUCAACAACAACAAAUAGACAAAAUAUAAGGGGAAAAAAAGAGAUUUCCAAGACAUCGGACAACCAGCCGUGAAGGCCAGCGGUUCCUGAGAUGGGGGGAGAAAUGAAGCUCCUGUGAUUGCCAGAGUUUCCAGAAAGCCCCCGAGCUUCUGGGGAGGCCAAGGUGGCUUGAGUUCUUGGCAGGGUACCCAAGAGGGAGAGCGGCACACGGCGAGGACCCCAGAGUUCUGCAGAGGAGCCCCCUGAGCGUUCAGCGGAGCACUGAUGAGUGUGUGAACCUGGGGAAACCAUCCAGGACUGGAGACCAGCCCUCCAAAAGGAUCAGAGAACAAUGCUCCACGCUGACAUGGGCCUGAGAGGGCGCUGUCCCCCGCUAGACUUAUGCUGAGCAAACAGCAGGCCCAGGACCAUCCUGGAGAAAAGCCUUGAGCAAGGGCUGGCCUUAGGCAGGAGGAGUAACUCCCCCGACAGAGACCCGCCCCAGAGACGCUAAGCCAUUAAUAACAGCAGGACUAGAAAGGACCCACGAUUUCUACGCUGCAUCCCAGGACACAGCUCCCACAUCUUACAGGGAUGCAAAGAUCCCCCACAAUCAGUGAGGUACAGUUCACGAUGUCUGACACCCAGUCGAAGGCUGCUAGGUAUUAAAGACACAGAAAAGACAGGACCCACAUUGAGGAGGACACUCUGUCAGUCGAAACUGGCCCAGAACAGACACAGAUGUUAGAAGGAACAGACAAGGACAUUAAAUGGAUUCUUGUAACUGCAUUCUACAUGUUCAAAGAGUUAAGUAGAGACGUGGAAGGUAUUAAAAAAAAAGACUCCAAAUGGAACUUCUAGGCAUGGAAAUGACAACAUCUUAGAUGAGGGAUAUGUGUAAAUAUUUAUGUCAAAAGAAGCAGAACAGAAAACAGAAUAAUAAUUUAUUUUUGGUACCAGGGAUUGAACUCAGGGACA